rnacentral:tRNA from 1 species
GCGGAAGUAGUUCAGUGGUAGAACAUCACCUUGCCAAGGUGGGGGUCGCGGGUUCGAAUCCCGUCUUCCGCUCCAA